GGCAGUGUGGCCUAGUAGGCAGAGCACUAGACUGGGAUUCAGGACACCUGGGUUCUCUUCCUGGCACUGCUG
rnacentral:tRNA from 1 species